rnacentral:lncRNA from 1 species
CCCAACCCCACUUGGCCUCUAUUGAAUGCAACCCCAGGUGCUAAUGGGCUCUUCAUCCACAAGCACCUGGACUUCAAAGACGGAUCUGGCAGAGUUAUUUUGUUCCAGAGAGCAGGACCCUGUAGCAAGCAUAUGGGACCCACGGAGCCUUAGUCCUCUCCAUUCAUCAAGACCCAACAGUCUGUGCCGAGAAGUAUUGAAUUUUAGCUUAAGAUGGAUCGCACGACUGGAGUCUCCUUUACAAAUGAAUUAUAUUCUGUUUACCAUUUGUGUGUGCGUAUGUGUGAGCAUGUGUGUGUGUGUGCCAGAUGAGUGUUUAGGUUUGUGGCCUGUUCCUGUGAGGGGCAUUCUCUCAUGGUUAGAAACGCAUAUAUAGGAGUUUGUAAUCAGGAAGCAGCAGCUAGGGUGCAGGCAGUUCUUGCAAGAAGUUUGAUAGAGAAUAAAAAAGAUCCUGUGGGUAGAGAAUUGGGGAAGAGCGUGUAUAAAAGAGCAGUAGUUUUAUUAUUUUUGUUGCUGUUAUUGUUACUAUUAUAUUGGUACAGGAUCCUUCUCCCUGAAGUAAAUUCCUUUCAGGUUCACUGUAGAAUGUGAGGCCAGCUCUGUUAUUAUCUCAUUUGCUGAGGAAAUGGAGACUCAGAGAGGUAAGGUGACCUGUUUGGGAUCACACAACAGGAGCUUGGAGCUGGGUGUUCAGAGCGUGUGGUUGGGUCCUGAAGUGAUUCUCCUAUGAAGAAAUGAAAAGACAACUGGGAGUAGGAAGGUGCCAGUAGAAGGGAGGGAAUUGAAGGACAUGGGGGCGCUAGGCUUCCCAAGGCAGAAUGCUGAGAUCUUGGUUGCCCUGGAUGAGAAAAGAGGCGGGAGAAAGAAUGUGCCCAGGUAAAUGGUCCAGCUGAGAGGUUUGCCUUCAAAGCAGGCUCUGUCUCUAGGACUUUGCAGCCCACUUCCCACCUAAGAUAGCUGCUUGAAUUCUACCCCUUGGGCCUCUGCUUUCCCAUUUGUACAAGAGGGCAUCUGGACUGGGUUAUGGGAGUGGAGAACUUCUGGGUUUCUCUUUGCUUUUAACUUUUGAUACUCUGUGCUAAGCAUAUGUAUAGGUUUGUAGGUACAUGGUGUAUAUGUGUGUGUGUGUGUGUGUGUGUGUGGCCAGAGGGGAGAAAAAUGUAGGGAGCUAAACCAAUGAGGUGGGGGAGUACCUGUUCACACUGGAUUGGGGUGGGAGUCCCAAGGGCCUGCUAGGUAAGUCAGCUCAGGGUGAGGGAUGAGUUUGAGCAUGAGCUGCCAAUUUGGGUGGCCCAGACCUAUGCCUGGAACCAAGGGAUGAAAGUGUAUAAUAGGGUGCAAGUGCAGGAAGAGUGGGCAGAGGAGGCCCAUAGACUCCAAGACUUGAAUUUCUAUCCUCCAUAUCCAAUUCCUAUCCUUGUACCACUCUGGCCCCAAUGCUCAGGGCCAGCACAAAAGAAAACCAUUUGCUUCAGCUAAAGCAAACAGCAGAUGGAGUUAGUGAUAAGGGAGCUUCAAGGUGAAAUCUGACAGCAUGGCCCCUGGCCUGGGCAGAGGAGGGAUUCAGAGAGGAAAUGGUUAUAAGAAGGGAGCUUGGGCUGGGGUUAUGGCUCAAUAGUAGAGCGCUUGCCUAGCACGGGCAAGGCCCUGGGUUCGAUCCUCAGCACCACAUUAAAAAACAAAAACAAAAACACAAAGAUAUUGUGUCCAACUACA